GAGAAGAGGCAUGCUAGAAGUGGCCCCUUGAUGCUGUGAGACCUUUUUGCUUUAAAGGACAUAAUUUCACCAGAACUGACCAAAGCAACAACAGAAAAACAAAUGGACCAUGAGAACUAGAAACGAAUGGGCUGCUGCAGUGAUUUAAACGUUUACAGUGCCAGAUCAGCCUAGGCCAAUUGAAUCAUUUUAGCUUUUUUCCCCCUUUGUUUGAGGCCAGGUAAAUAGAUACUAUAAGUCAUUACAGAGAUUGUUGCUGUCUGGAUCAUUACCCAGAAUACCAUCUGCGAGUAUUUUGUCAAGCUUCCUUCUAUUAAAAUGUCAUUAGAUUGCUUCUGAUGUUCAUUUGUGGACAGUGGAUAAAUCAGUCCACUUGACAGAUAAACAGGAACCCAAGUAACUAUUUUUUAAUUGGGUCUACUACCAUAUGUUGUCACUCAUGAUAUAUUUAAUAAGACUUUAGUUAAGUAUAUCUUAAAUCUGUUUGUUUUGUCAGUGGAAUUAAAAAAAUAUACAGCAUCACUUGACAGGGCUUUUGAGUUAACUGUGGGCUUAUUUUUACAUUGACAUACAACAAAAUACAGUUUUAAAAUGCAUGCAUAUUAUAUUAAAAUGUAGUAUGUAUGCAUGUUUACUAAUAGUUACAGAAUGAGAACUAUUGAGUCCAGUCGGUGGUUCUUGAUUUGGAAGUGAAAUUAAGUAGUAGUAGUAUUUUUAUUAAUAAAAAGAAUGUAUUGUCUGAAAGCCUUCUUGUAUGCUUUCAGGGGAAUAACUAAUUUGUUAGUGGGCAACUAAUUCUAAGAUAUAAGAUACACCUUUUUAAGUGUAUGUAUACACUUUUAUUUUGUAAUUUUCAGUUUUAACAGAAUGAAAAAAAAUCUUUACCUUCAAAACUUAAAGUCUGCUUUACAUCACACUCUUUUUAGUUUUCAUAUCACAGCAAGUUUAAAAAUGCUGUGGAGUGCCCUGAAGAUAACUCUGCUGGAGAUUCAAUCACAGUUCAUACAAGAUCACACUGCUAAGCUUGUUUUCUCCGUCCUGGCAGCCUGAACCAGAGAUACUCAUGAGUCACCACAGAAUGCAACAAUCCAUGGCUCCUUCAGGGCAUUAUGUAAAUUUACAAAUAAGUCUGUCAUGUGACUUGCAUUUCUUAAGGAUUUAUGAGCUUAAAAAAAUUAAAUGUGGUUAACCUAAAUACAACUGAUAUAAUA